UUUAUCCUUGAUAUGUUCAUCCUAACCGGUGACGGAUAUUCUCCUUUUGGUAUUCUACCUAGUAAAAAGGUAGUUGUAAUUCCUAUUUGUUCCCCAGAGAGUUAAUCCUCGAUAUGUUCAUCCUAACCGAUGAUGGGCUUCCUUCUCUUUGCGGUCUUCUGCCCAGUAACCAGUAGUUGUAAAUCCUACCUUUUCUCCCCUUUGCAGAGUUUAUCCUUGAUAUGUUCAUUUUAACCGGUGAC
rnacentral:lncRNA from 1 species